rnacentral:rRNA from 1 species
AGCAGCCGCGGUAAUUCCAGCUCCAAUAGCGUAUAUUAAAGUUGUUGCAGUUAAAAAGCUCGUAGUUGAAUUUCGGGAUCAGUACGUCGGUCGUGCCUUGGUACGUACUGGCGUCGCUGAUUUCUCCCUUCUGACGAACCGUGAUGCCAUUAAUUUGGUGUUGCGGGGAAUCAGGACUGUUACUUUGAAAAAAUUAGAGUGUUUAAAGCGGGCACGCGCUUGAAUACAUUAGCAUGGAAUAACGAAAUAGGACGUUCGAUCUUAUUUUGUUGGUUUCUUAGGAUUGACGUAAUGAUUAAUAGGGAUAGUUGGGGGCAUUAGUAUUCAAUUGUCAGAGGUGAAAUUCUUGGAUUUAUUGAAGACUAACUACUGCGAAAGCAUUUGCCAAGGAUGUUUUCAUUAAUCAAGAACGAAAGUUAGGGGAUCGAAGACGAUCAGAUACCGUCGUAGUCUUAACCAUAAACUAUGCCGACUAGGGAUCGGAUGAUGUUAAUUUUAUAAUGACUCAUUCGGCNCCUUA